CGGAACGGGUGAGUAAUAUAUCGGAACGUACCCAAGAGUGGGGGACAACCAGUCGAAAGAUUGGCUAAUACCGCAUACGAUCUAAGGAUGAAAGUGGGGGACCUUCGGGCCUCACGCUCCUGGAGCGGCCGAUAGCUGAUUAGCUAGUUGGUGGGGUAAAGGCCUACCAAGGCGAUGAUCAGUAGCUGGUCUGAGAGGACGAUCAGCCACACUGGGACUGAGACACGGCCCAG
rnacentral:rRNA from 1 species